CCGACUGCAGGAAGACUUCAUCCGAACUCCUACGGGAGCCGGACUUCGUCCCCGACUCCGGCUACAGGAAGACUUCAUCCGGACUCCUACGGGAGCCGGACUCCGAACUUCUACCGUAAGCGAUCUACCCCGAGCUUCUGCUACAAGCGGUCUACUUCAAAUUUCUACUACGAGCGGUCCGCGCCAGAUUUUCACUGUAAGCCUUCACCCGAGCUCCCAUUGUGGAC
rnacentral:lncRNA from 1 species